rnacentral:tRNA from 1 species
GUCGUUGUAGUAUAGUGGUGAGUAUUCCCGCCUGUCAUGCGGGUGACCCGGGUUCGAUCCCCGGAAACGACG